GCUCAGGACGAACGCUGGCGGCGUGCCUAAUACAUGCAAGUCGAGCGGACAGAUGGGAGCUUGCUCCCUGAUGUUAGCGGCGGACGGGUGAGUAACACGUGGGUAACCUGCCUGUAAGACUGGGAUAACUCCGGGAAACCGGGGCUAAUACCGGAUGCUUGAUUGAACCGCAUGGUUCAAUUAUAAAAGGUGGCUUUUAGCUACCACUUACAGAUGGACCCGCGGCGCAUUAGCUAGUUGGUGAGGUAACGGCUCACCAAGGCNACGAUGCGUAGCCGACCUGAGAGGGUGAUCGGCCACACUGGGACUGAGACACGGCCCAGACUCCUACGGGAGGCAGCAGUAGGGAAUCUUCCGCAAUGGACGAAAGUCUGACGGAGCAACGCCGCGUGAGUGAUGAAGGUUUUCGGAUCGUAAAACUCUGUUGUUAGGGAAGAACAAGUACCGUUCGAAUAGGGCGGUACCUUGACGGUACCUAACCAGAAAGCCACGGCUAACUACGUGCCAGCAGCCGCGGUAAUACGUAGGUGGCAAGCGUUGUCCGGAAUUAUUGGGCGUAAAGCGCGCGCAGGCGGUUUCUUAAGUCUGAUGUGAAAGCCCCCGGCUCAACCGGGGAGGGUCAUUGGAAACUGGGGAACUUGAGUGCAGAAGAGGAGAGUGGAAUUCCACGUGUAGCGGUGAAAUGCGUAGAGAUGUGGAGGAACACCAGUGGCGAAGGCGACUCUC
rnacentral:rRNA from 1 species